UACGUAGGGUGCGAGCGUUAAUCGGAAUUACUGGGCGUAAAGGGCUCGUAGGCGGCCAACUAAGUCAGACGUGAAAUCCCUCGGCUUAACCGGGGAACUGCGUCUGAUACUGGAUGGCUUGAGUUUGGGAGAGGGAUGCGGAAUUCCAGGUGUAGCGGUGAAAUGCGUAGAUAUCUGGAGGAACACCGGUGGCGAAGGCGGCAUCCUGGACCAACACUGACGCUGAGUGAGCGAAAAGCCAGGGGAGCAAAGCGGGAU
rnacentral:rRNA from 1 species